rnacentral:rRNA from 1 species
AUUGAACGCUGGCGGCAGGCCUAACACAUGCAAGUCGAACGGUAACAGGAAGAAGCUUGCUUCUUUGCUGACGAGUGGCGGACGGGUGAGUAAUGUCUGGGAAACUGCCUGAUGGAGGGGGAUAACUACUGGAAACGGUAGCUAAUACCGCAUAACGUCGCAAGACCAAAAAGGGGGACCUUCGGGCCUCUUGCCAUCGGAUGUGCCCCGAUGGGAUUAGCUAGUAGGUGGGGUAACGGCUCACCUAGGCGACGAUCCCUAGCUGGUCUGAGAGGAUGACCAGCCACACUGGAACUGAGACACGGUCCAGACUCCUACGGGAGGCAGCAGUGGGGAAUAUUGCACAAAGGGCGCAAGCCUGAUGCAGCCAUGCCGCGUGUAUGAAGAAGGCCUUCGGGUUGUAAAGUACUUUCAGCGGGGAGGAAGGGAGUAAAGUUAAUACCUUUGCUCAUUGACGUUACCCGCAGAAGAAGCACCGGCUAACUCCGUG